UACGAGGGGGGCAAAUGUUGUUCGGAAUCACUGGGCGUAAAGGGAGCGUAGGCGGGUUCUUAAGUAAGGUGUUUAAUCCCGGGGCCCAACCCCGGACCGGCACUUUAAACUGGGAAUCUUGAAUAGUGGAGAGGUCGGUGGAAUUGGGGGUGUAGCGGUGGAAUGCGUAGAGAUCCCCAAGAACACCAGUUGCGAAGGCGGCCGACUGGACACAUAUUGACGCUGAGGCUCGAAAAGCAUGGGGAGCAAACAGG
rnacentral:rRNA from 1 species